GUAGACCAAAAAAGGAAACAUGUGAUAAAAUUGGAACGAUAUAGAGAAGAUUAGCAUGGCCCCUGCACAAGGAUGACACACACAAAUCGAGAAAUGGUCCAAUUUU
rnacentral:snRNA from 1 species